AACAAACGCUGGCGGCGUGCCUAAUACAUGCAAGUCGAACGGGGAAAGCUUUCGGGUGAGUACUAGUGGCACACGGGUGAGUAACGCGUGGAUAAUCUGCCUUAGAGUGGGGGAUAACUAGUCGAAAGAUUAGCUAAUACCGCAUAAGACCACAAGAACUGCGGUUCAAGAGGUCAAAGGUUUUUCGCUCUAAGAUGAGUCCGCGUAAGAUUAGCUAGUUGGUGAGGUAACGGCUCACCAAGGCAACGAUCUUUAACUGGUCUGAGAGGAUGAUCUGUCACACUGGAACUGAGACACGGUCCAGACUCCUACGGGAGGCAGCAGUAGGGAAUAUUGCACAAUGGAGGAAACUCUGAUGCAGCGACGCCGCGUGAGUGAUGAAGGCCUUCGGGUCGUAAAGCUCUGUCGCAGGGGAAUAACACAAUGAAUGUACCCUGUAAGAAAGGAUCGGCUAACUUCGUGCCAGCCGCCGCGGUAAAAC
rnacentral:rRNA from 1 species